rnacentral:rRNA from 1 species
UACAGAGACUGCAAGCGUUAUUCGGAUUCACUGGGCGUAAAGGGUGCGCAGGCGGUUGGGUGUGUCAGAUGUGAAAUCCCGAGGCUUAACCUCGGAACUGCGUCUGAAACUACUCGACUAGAGUACUGGAGAGGGAAACGGAAUUCACGGUGUAGCAGUGAAAUGCGUAGAUAUCGUGAGGAGCACCAGAGGCGAAGGCGGUUUCCUGGACAGUUACUGACGCUCAGGCACGAAAGCAUGGGGAGCAAAAGGG